rnacentral:rRNA from 1 species
GACGAACGCUGGCGGCGUGCUUAACACAUGCAAGUCGAACGGUGAAGCGCUUGCCUUUUUGGUGGGUGUGGAUGAGUGGCGAACGGGUGAGUAACACGUGAGUAACCUGCCCUCUUCUUCUGGAUAACCUCAUGAAAGUGGGGCUAAUACGGGGUAUUCCGGGUCUGUCGCAUGGCGGGUUUGGGAAAGAUUGCGCCUUUGGGUGUUUUCGGUGGGGGAUGGGCUCGCGGCCUAUCAGCUUGUUGGUGGGGUGAUGGCCUACCAAGGCGGUGACGGGUAGCCGGCCUGAGAGGGUGGACGGCCACACUGGGACUGGGACACGGCCCAGACUCCUGCGGGAGGCAGCAGUGGGGAAUAUUGCACAAUGGGCGCAAGCCUGAUGCAGCGACGCCGCGUGAGGGAUGGAGGCCUUCGGGUUGUGAACCUCUUUCGCCAGUGAAGCAGGCCUGCUCCUGUGUGGGUGGGUUGACGGUAGCUGGAUAAGAAGCGCCGGCUAACUACGUG